rnacentral:rRNA from 1 species
UACGUAGGGGGCUAGCGUUGUCCGGAAUCAUUGGGCGUAAAGAGCGUGUAGGCGGUCCGGUAAGUCUGCUGUGAAAGUCCAGGGCUCAACCCUGGAAGGCCGGUGGAAACUGUCGGGCUAGAGUCCGGAAGAGGCGAGUGGAAUUCCCGGUGUAGCGGUGAAAUGCGCAGAUAUCGGGAGGAACACCAAUGGCGAAGGCAGCUCGCUGGGACGGUACUGACGCUGAGACGCGAAAGCGUGGGGAGCAAACAGG